rnacentral:rRNA from 1 species
GGUCCUAUGGAGGUAUGUUGGAUUUAACCUGCCCAAUGAUGACUAUUUAAUGGCCGCGGUAUUUUGACCGUGCAAAGGUAGCAUAAUCAUUAGGCCUUUGAUUGGGGUCUGGUAUGAAUGGUUGGACGAAGGGUUGACUGUCUUAGUGUGUUAAUUAUUUUGAAUUUUAUUUUUAGGUGAAAAAGCUUAAAUGUUCUUGGGGGACGAUAAGACCCUAUAGAUCUUUACAUAUUUCAUUGAAGGUGCAUUAUUUUUGAUGGGCUGUGUUUUGUUGGGGUGACAGGGAGAUAGAAUUACCUCUCCUUUUUAAGAAUUGCUUAUUAGCAUAAAGGUGAUCCACUUAUAAGUGAAUUAGGAUUAAGUUACCUUAGGGAUAACAGCGUAAUCUUUUUUGAGAGUUCUUAUCGACAAGAAGGGUUGCGACCUCGAUGUUGGAUUAAGAGAUUCGAGUGGUGAAGGAGCUGCUUGUAAGGGUCUGUUCGACCUUUAAAUUCUUACA